rnacentral:rRNA from 1 species
AGCGUAGACGGAGUGGCAGGUCUGAUGUGAAAACCCGGGGCUCAACCCCGGGACUGCAUUGGAAACUGUCAAUCUAGAGUACCGGAGAGGUAAGCGGAAUUCCUAGUGUAGCGGUGAAAUGCGUAGAUAUUAGGAGGAACACCAGUGGCGAAGGCGGCUUACUGGACGGUAACUGACGUUGAGGCUCGAAAGCGUGGGGAGGCAAAACA